UACGUAGGGCGCAAGCGUUGUCCGGAAUUAUUGGGCGUAAAGAGCUCGUAGGCGGCCUGUUACGUCUGCUGUGAAAUCCCGGGGCUUAACCCCGGGCGUGCAGUGGAUACGGGCAGGCUGGAGGCAGGCAGGGGAGAACGGAAUUCCCGGUGUAGCGGUGAAAUGCGCAGAUAUCGGGAGGAACACCGGUGGCGAAGGCGGCUCACUGGCUCAUUACUGACGCUCAGGCGCGAUAGCGUGGGGAUCAAACAGG
rnacentral:rRNA from 1 species